ACGCUGGCGGCAGGCCUAACACAUGCAAGUCGAGCGGUAGAGAGAAGCUUGCUUCUCUUGAGAGCGGCGGACGGGUGAGUAAUGCCUAGGAAUCUGCCUGGUAGUGGGGGAUAACGUCCGGAAACGGACGCUAAUACCGCAUACGUCCUACGGGAGAAAGCAGGGGACCUUCGGGCCUUGCGCUAUCAGAUGAGCCUAGGUCGGAUUAGCUAGUUGGUGGGGUAAUGGCUCACCAAGGCGACGAUCCGUAACUGGUCUGAGAGGAUGAUCAGUCACACUGGAACUGAGACACGGUCCAGACUCCUACGGGAGGCAGCAGUGGGGAAUAUUGGACAAUGGGCGAAAGCCUGAUCCAGCCAUGCCGCGUGUGUGAAGAAGGUCUUCGGAUUGUAAAGCACUUUAAGUUGGGAGGAAGGGCAGUAAAUUAAUACUUUGCUGUUUUGACGUUACCGACAGAAUAAGCACCGGCUAACUCUGUGCCAGCAGCCGCGGUAAUACAGAGGGUGCAAGCGUCAAUCGGAAUUACUGGGCGUAAAGCGCGCGUAGGUGGUUCGUUAAGUUGGAUGUGAAAUCCCCGGGCUCAACCUGGGAACUGCAUUCAAAACUGACGAGCUAGAGUAUGGUAGAGGGUGGUGGAAUUUCCUGUGUAGCGGUGAAAUGCGUAGAUAUAGGAAGGAACACCAGUGGCGAAGGCGACCACCUGGACUGAUACUGACACUGAGGUGCGAAAGCGUGGGGAGCAAAC
rnacentral:rRNA from 1 species